rnacentral:rRNA from 1 species
CGUACACACCGCCCGUCAAGUCAUGGAGCUGGGAGUACCCGAAGUCCGCUUAGCUAACUGCAAAGAGGCGGCGGCCGACGGUAAGCUCGGUGACUGGGACU